rnacentral:rRNA from 1 species
UAGGGAAUCUUCGGCAAUGGGGGGAACCCUGACCGAGCAACGCCGCGUGAGUGAAGAAGGUUUUCGGAUCGUAAAGCUCUGUUGUUAAGGAAGAACGAGUGUGAGAAUGGAAAGUUCAUGCUGUGACGGUACUUAACCAGAAAGGGACGGCUAACUACGUGCCAGCAGCCGCGGUAAUACGUAGGUCCCGAGCGUUGUCCGGAUUUAUUGGGCGUAAAGCGAGCGCAGGCGGUUAGAUAAGUCUGAAGUUAAAGGCAGUGGCUCAACCAUUGUAGGCUUUGGAAACUGUUUAACUUGAGUGCAGAAGGGGAGAGUGGAAUUCCAUGUGUAGCGGUGAAAUGCGUAGAUAUAUGGAGGAACACCGGUGGCGAAAGCGGCUCUCUGGGCUGUAACUGACGCUGAGGCUCGAAAGCGUGGGGAGCGAACAGG